rnacentral:rRNA from 1 species
GAAGGGGGCUAGCGUUGYUCGGAAUCACUGGGSGUAAAGSGCASGUAGGUGGGUCAUUUAGUCAGGGGUGAAAUCCUGGAGCUCAACUCCAGAACUGCCUUUGAUACUGAUGAUCUUGGAGUCCGGGAGAGGUGGGUGGAACUGCGAGUGUAGAGGUGAAAUUCGUAGAUAUUCGCAAGAACACCAGUGGCGAAGGCGGCUCAYUGGCCCGGUACUGACACUGAGGUGCRAAAGCGUGGGGAGCAAACAGGAUUAGAUACCCUGGUAKUCCACCCCGUAAACGAUGGAUGCUAGCCGUUGGGGAKCUUGSUSUUCB